UAUGCUGUUAGUAAAUUGAAAGUGUAUGUGUGUGUGUGUGUGUGUGUGUGUGUGUGUGUGUGUUACUUAUGCUGUUAGUAAAUUGAAAGUAUGUGUGUGUGUGUGUUACUUAUGCUGUUAGUAAAUUGAAAGUAUGUGUGUGUGUGUGUGUGUGUGUGUGUGUUACUUAUGCUGUUAGUAAAUUGAAAGUGUGUGUGUGUGUGUUACUUAUGCUGUUAGUAAAUUGAAAGUGUGUGUGUGUGUGUGUGUGUGUGUUGAGAUAGAAUACUAUCGAUAGCAAAUGGGUUUCGUUGCCACCCAUUUAUUUUUGAUGAUGGAGCUUCCAAAUCGACGAUCGGCACCGUUAAACAUGAUCUAUACCACUUGAAGUGUUUAGAAAUCAAAUUUCAUACACUUUCGAUAUUGUUCUCUUAUCCAUCGAGUGGAUAAAAAAAUAAACGGCUGAAAAUAAAUAUUCUUUAAAAAAUGAUGAUAGGAGUCUUGUAAUUAAGAUCAAAAGUAUAGAUCUUGUUUUAAAUAGUUUAAAGAAUUUUCUAACAAAAUUUAAUUGAUUUGGAUAUCUUUACGCCGUUAAACGAGAAAACGCCUCAUAUCGACCAUUAAAAUUACAAAGUUUGAAACUCUUUGAUCAUUAGGCAAAUAAUGUCGAAAAGAUUUGAAAUUUGAUUUCUAAACACUUCAAUUGGUAUAGAUCAUGUUCAACGGUAUCGAUCGUCGAUUUGGAGGCUCUAUCAUCGAAAAUAAAUGGGUGGCAACGGAGCUCGUUUGCUAUCGAUAGUAUUCUAACUCAACUAUAUAUAUAUAUAUA
rnacentral:lncRNA from 1 species